GACCUUGCUUAAGCAGAAAAUCACCAGAGUUAUUUUUCUUCUUUUUGUCAAGCCAGGAAAUUCAAAGAUAGGGAAGAAAAAUUAAAGUAUACAAAAAUUUUAAAAAAUAAUGACCUUGGGAAAGUUGCAUAAUUUCUUUGGACCUCAGCUUACAAACUUGUGCAUUUAGGAAGAAAGGGCAAUAGACUGGAAUUAACAUUUAUUUACUGGUUUCCCUGUCACUUUUUUUGUUCUUCAUAAUACCCAUUUGAAAAGUUACUUUAUCCUCAUUUCAUUGAAAUGAACUAAGAGAAAUACUAAGUAACUCAUACUAGACAAAGAUAACAAUUAAAUAAUAAAAUUAAGAUUCUAAUUCAACUCCAUCUUGAAUCUUCAUGCUUCCAAAAUUUAUGUUUUUCUCCAUUCGAUCUCAUUAUUAAAAAAUAAGAUUGCCUGCAAUCCUAAAAAUAUGCAGAAGAGACAAAAACCCCUCUCUUUUAUGACAUAAAUUAGGAGAUUAAAAACCCAUGCUGAAGAUCUUCAUCUAGAUAGAGCUUUAAAAACAUGAAUUCUGCUGUGUCCUUAGAUUUAGAUUCAAUGGUGAAAUUUGGCAAAGGACAGAAGUGAAUUUGAAGACAUAGAAAAAGAUUAGUAGGCUCUUAGGAGAGGGCAGAGUGAGGAAAAGAUGGAGGCAGUGAACCAAAGAUGGACUUAGAUUCCUAAUUUUGGAAAUUAUCAAAACCCCUUUUUUUUAAAGAACUGGAAUAGCUAACAUUUCCAUUUUUAAAUUGUUAUAAGUCACUUUUGUCUUUAUAUCUUCCUGAACAUUUAAUGAGCUUUAUUAUAUGGAUGAUGUUGCUUCAUUUGAAAAGUAAGAUGACUUUCUGUUUUCAAUUUCCUGGUUUCUGGACUUCAGUUUACAUAAUAAAUAUACCUGGUACCAAGUUCAAUGGCCUUGGGUACACCUAAGCGAUUUGUAUGUUCCAGACCACUUGUUUCUGUGAUUAAAUAUGAACAAUAAUAGUCACAAGUAGAACUUCACUGUCUAUUUCUGUCUCCUGAAGGAAUUCAGUUCAUCAUCAAAUUUGUGCAAAAAGUUUUGGAAAUCUGCCAGAGUCUUAUUUGUACAGUAUAGGUAGAAAACCUUAGCUAUUCCUAGUAUCUUCCACAGCUUUGCUCUGUGUCAGAACCAAAGCUGUCCCUUUGAUGUUGCUGAUGGACAGAGACACUGUCACUUGGUUGAUGACAGCCAAGCCAAAUUAGUUGCUUUUAAAGCUGCUGAUGGUGGCUUUCUGCCUGCCCAUCCGCAGUAUCGAGCAUACAAGUGUCUAUAUUCAUCACUAGCCACACACAAAUCCCUGUCAUUCUUACAGGAACGUUUAGCACCCAAAUGAGUCACACUUAACAUGCAGCGCUCUCAUUCUACCAAGAACCUUAUAACAAAACAUGAUUAUUUCCAAUUAAAAGCUUCCUACACGUACAUCAUCCUAGAACUCGAUCAUGGGCUCUGUGCCUGAGGACAAUCUGAGUAAGACCCUCCACGCUGUCCUUAAAUUAAUUAGUAGACAGACCUGCAAAUUUUGACUAAUCAUUUUGGCCUAUUGUUUUCCAGCAUAAUGUGUACAGCACAAAAACAAUGCAUAAUUUCCCUAGAGAAUCAUUCAUUAUGUAUGUGAAUGAGACUCAUGGUGAAUGUAUUUACUAAUAAAUGCCCAGAGAGUCUUGAAUUUUGUGGAUAACCCAAGGGUCCUGGAAAAAAACCAAAAACAAACAAACACACAAAAAACCCAAAAUUCAUGUCAAGGAGAAACCACAAUGUCAAGAGCACUUAGAUUCAUGAUGGAAGUGAGGGGAUGAUGUGACUAAUUGGAGGCUGGAAUUCUCUAAUCCUCACUCUCCACUGCCUUUUUCCAUUACUCGCCCACAGAUCAUGUCACCAGUUUUGGUUAAAAAACAUUAUGCUUAUUUUGAUUUAAAUGAAAUGCAUUCAGCUAUAAUGAGUUACAAUGAUAUACAAUAUAACCAUAUUAUUACACAUUUAAUAAAUUGUUUCUCAGAAUUAAUAAAUUACAUGAAAUCAAAGGAAUUGAAAAGAUCGGAAUCUAAGAUCAUGCUACUUUGGGUAUACCCCUUGAAAAGUCUGUUGGAUAAGCUAUUAAAACUUUAUAUGUAUCUUAAAUAACAUAAUUAAGUACUCUUUAAUAGGUCAGUUAAAUAAAAUAAGAUUAUUUUGCAGGAAUUUGUAACACAGGAACUAUGACUACAGACUCAGAGAUAGAAAGAUAUUGUAUUUCUUGCAUCCUCUAUCAGAUUUUAGGUAUUAUUUUGGAAAAUAUACUGUUUCUGUGUAAUCACCUACUAUAAAUUUUCAUUCCACAUGGAGCAGUAGCAUAUUCAAAAACAAGUUUAACAAGUAAGAGCUAGAAAAAUACUACCAAUAUAUAUUUUAGGGGCCACACUGUGCCAUAUGUAGGUUCCCAGGCUAGGGGUCAAAUUGGAGAUGUAGCUGCUGGCCUACACCACAGCCACAGCAACGAGGGAUACAAGCCACAUCUGCAACCUAUACCACAGCUUACAGCAAUGCCAGACCCUUAACCCACUGAGUGAGGCCAGGGAUUGAACCUCUGUCCUCAUGGAUGCUAGUCAGAUUCAUUUCCCCUGAGCCACAUGGGAACUCCAAAAAAUACUGAAUAUAUAAUACAUAUUAGGUGAUAUAUCAUAUUUGGUGAAAUAUUAACUGAAUGUAGACAAUUACUAAUUUUUGAGCACUACAAUGUCUUGGCACAGUAUCUUUGUAAUUUUGAGUCCUUUUUAAAACUCCAUAUUAAAUAAGAGGAAGCUGAGACUCAGAGAGUUACAAGUAGAUCUGGCAUUGGGUGUAGCACAGCCUGACCUGAAACUGUUAAUAUUGCUCUGUUUUUGCUACAUAGCUACACAGUGAUCAUUUGCUGUCUGACCUUAGACAAGUUAUCUAAAAUCUGAGUAGGCUUUAAUUUCCCUUUUCUGUAAAAGUGCAAAUAAUAAUACUUGUUAUACAAAAGUUUUGGAGAUCAACUUGACUUACUAUGUAUAAGACACUUAACAUAUGGCACUUUGAAAGUGUUCAGUAUGGCUAUUAGUAUUUUAAGUGAUGAUGAAAAUUUAGCAAAUAUUUAUAAAAUAGCCUUAAUUCCCUCCCUCAUUUCCUUUUUUAUUCUUUCCCACCUUCCUAUUUUUUCAGAUAUACUAAUAUCAAAUUAUUUUCCUUAAUAAUAACUGCAACUCCAUCCCACAUACUAUAUUGCUACUUUGUAUAUUUUGCAUACAUUUUCCCCCACAAAAAUCUCAUGUGGUCUUAUCUUUGGGAAGGGUGCCUUGGAACCUUCCAAUAUACUAUUAUUAUCUGAAAUAGCUUUUGUUAUUUUUGUUAUUUCAUAGAAAAGAAAGUCUUGAUGACACUAAAGACUAUAUCCCAAUUAUACAAUUUAUGAGUGAUAGACCCAAGAGUACUGAGAGAGAAAACCAAGUAAAUAAGCCAAGUAAAUACAUUCUUGUACAUUUAAAGAUAAAUCUUGCUUGCUUGUAUUGUAAAUGUCUUGAAUUCAUGAUAAUUUUCUACAUCUUAAGAGGUGAAACACAACUGUUAGUCCCAAAAAGGAGCCCUAUAUUUUAUAUAUUUAGAUAUAUGCAGAUAUAUGUAUGUUAUAUAUGUGUUACAAAUUACUUAUACAUGAUUAUGUAUUUUUAUGUGUGGUACAUAUUACAUAUAUUCAUGUAUCUUUACAUGAAAAAGUCAGUGAUGUAGGUGUCCUGUCUAUAUCAAAUAUAGAUAUAGAUAGAUGUGUAUGUAUGCACCCAUUAUGUAUGUGUAUAUAUGUGCACACACACACACAUUAAUCAUAUUAAUAGUUAAGUAGUUGUCAUUUAAAAAGUUGCAAGUGAAAUCCUUACAUUCCCCUGAUCUCAAACCUACAGUCUCACUUAGAACUUCUUAUCAGACUUAGAACGAAAGCCAAAGACUUUAUCAUAGACAAAGCUUUGUGCAUCAUCCAGCCCCUGAAUAACAAUCCAGAUAUGUAAUCACUACUCUCCCAUCUCUAAAUCUGCCCCAGGCAUACUCUCCCUCUUGCUGUUACUUUAAAAUGUCGUGUCCUUCUGCCUUAGGGUUUUUGCACUUGCUGUCUCUCUGCCUUGAGCUCUGCACACAGUUUUUCGCAUAUUCCACUCCCACAAUUCAUUUUGUCUUCACAUUUAUUGGGUAUGUACCAAGUACUCUUCUUAAUACUUUGAGUGAAGUAUCUUAUUUAAAACAAGUUAUUGGAGUUCCAUCGUGGCUCAGUGGUUAACUAGGAACCAUGAGGUUGUGGGUUCGAUCCCUGGCCUCGGUCAGUGGGUUAAGGAUCCGGCGUUGCUGUGAGCUGUGGUGUAGGUCGCAGACGUGGCUCGGAUCCCGCGUUGCUGCGGCUCUGGUGUAGGCUGGCAGCUACAGCUCCAAUGAGACGCCUAGCCUGGGAACCUCCAUAUGCUGCAAAAGCGGCCCUAGAAAAGGCAAAAAGA
rnacentral:lncRNA from 1 species